CGGUAUUCGAUACAAACAAUUUUCUAUCGUUUUCUUCGUCUCCUUCCGCUCAAUCCAGAUCUCGCUCCAUCCGUCACCCCUCCCCCCCUCCGCCCCUCCUGUCUCGACGCCGUCAAAGGCUUCGACCGACGAAAGCUCGCCCCGAUCCGGGGACGGUGGCGAUGGGGGCAACUCUCCGUAUGGCGGCGGUGCGGUGGUGCGCGACGACGAGGGCCGCAGGCGAGCACGGUGGGCGGCGGCGGACUCGGGUUGGUGGGCCGCAGGCGAGCGCGGUGGGCGGCGACGGACUCGAAGGAGUUCUCAGGUGGUCAGGCCUCCGGCGGCUGAUGUCCACGGGACGUCCAGAUCCGGCGGCUUCUAUCGGCGGAGGUUGGUGGCGGAGGCUGCAGGCCGACAAAGAGAUGGCGAGCAACAGGUGUGGCAGGGUUGGUGGUCAGUGCGGCGUGGUGGCUCGGCG
rnacentral:lncRNA from 1 species